rnacentral:lncRNA from 1 species
AUAAACCCCCUGUUAACUAUUAAGCAUUAUUCAUCAUAAACCCCCUGUUAACUUUUAAUCAUUCAUUUUUCCAUAACUCGGUAUGAUUGUGUGAAUUGCAAGAUGUGCAAUAAAACUAAGUUUGGGGUGGAAAUCUUGAAAGAGAAGGCAAGUGCAUAAUAAGAGAUCAUACAAAAAGAAAAAGAGUAUGUAUGUUCUGUAAAAGAAAAAAAAAGAAAAAAAAAGAGAAAAGAAAAACAAAAGAGAAAAAUGCACUUACCGAGACUUAAGACUCUAACACACAUAAAAUGCUCGAAAAAUUUGAGUAGAAAAAGAGUCAAAAGAGUGAAAUUAACCCCCAGAGUAUACGUGAUGCAUGAGAAAAAGAGAAAGAAAAAUCACACAACAUGACUACCGAGUUCAAAACCCUUUGUUAUCCAUUUU